UAGGGAAUCUUCCACAAUGGACGCAAGUCUAAUGGAGCAACGCCGCGUGAGUGAAGAAGGCUUUCGGGUCGUAAAACUCUGUUAUUGAAGAAGAACGUGUGUGACAGUAACUGGUCAUGCAGUGACGGUAUUCAAUCAGAAAGUCACGGCUAACUACGUGCCAGCAGCCGCGGUAAUACGUAGGUGGCAAGCGUUGUCCGGAUUUAUUGGGCGUAAAGCGAGUGCAGGCGGUCUUUUAAGUCUGAUGUGAAAGCCUUCGGCUUAACCGAAGAAGGGCAUCGGAAACUGGGAGACUUGAGUGCAGAAG
rnacentral:rRNA from 1 species